GACGAACGCUGGCGGCGUGCUUAACACAUGCAAGUGGAGCGACGAACCAGGCUUCGGCCUGGGGCAGAGCCGCGAACGGGUGAGUAACACGUGGGUAACCUGCCUCGAUGACCGGGACAACCCGGGGAAACCCGGGCUAAUACCGGAUGUGCUCUCCCCACAUCAGUGGGGAAUGGAAAGGAAGCUUCGGCCUCCGCAUCGAGAUGGGCCCGCGGCCCAUUAGCUUGUUGGUGAGGUAACGGCUCACCAAGGCCGCGAUGGGUAGCUGGUCUGAGAGGACGAUCAGCCACACUGGGACUGAGACACGGCCCAGACUCCUACGGGAGGCAGCAGUGGGGAAUCUUGCGCAAUGCGCGAAAGCGUGACGCAGCAACGCCGCGU
rnacentral:rRNA from 1 species